CAGCGGAGGGAUCAUUGCUGGAACGCGCUUCGGCGCACCCAGAAACCCUUUGUGAACUUAUACCUAUUGUUGCCUCGGCGUAGGCCGGCCUCUUCACUGAGGCCCCCUGGAAACAGGGAGCAGCCCGCCGGCGGCCAACCAAACUCUUGUUUCUAUAGUGAAUCUCUGAGUAAAAAACAUAAAUGAAUCAAAACUUUCAACAACGGAUCUCUUGGUUCUGGCAUCGAUGAAGAACGCAGCGAAAUGCGAUAAGUAAUGUGAAUUGCAGAAUUCAGUGAAUCAUCGAAUCUUUGAACGCACAUUGCGCCCUCUGGUAUUCCGGAGGGCAUGCCUGUUCGAGCGUCAUUUCAACCCUCAAGCCUGGCUUGGUGAUGGGGCACUGCCUGUAAGAGGGCAGGCCCUGAAAUCUAGUGGCGAGCUCGCCAGGACCCCGAGCGUAGUAAUUAUAUCUCGCUCUGGAAGGCCCUGGCGGUGCCCUGCCGUUAAACCCCCAACUUCUGAAAAUUUGACCUCGGAUCAGGUAGGAAUACCCGCUGAACUUAAGCAUA
rnacentral:rRNA from 1 species